rnacentral:rRNA from 1 species
GACGAACGCUGGCGGCGUGCUUAACACAUGCAAGUCGAGCGGAGCGGCGAACGGGUGAGUAACGCGUGAGUAACUGCCCCCCUCUCUGGGAUAACAGUUGGAAACGGCUGCUAAUCCCGGAUAGUGGGGGAUGACUCGCGUCCUAUCAGAUUGUUGGUGGGGUAGUGGCCUACCAAGGCGACGACGUGUGUCCGGCCUGGGAGGGCGACCGGCCACGUUGGGCUGUGAGACGGCCCGAACUCCUCCGGGAGUCAGCAGUGGGGAAUAUUUCACACUGGGGGAGACCCUGAGGCAGCACCGCCGCGUGCGGGGUGAGGGCCUUCUGGUUGUAAACCGCUGUCAGCCAUGACGCGGUAGUGGCAGAAGAAGCACCGGCUAACUACGUGCCAGCAGCCGCGGUAAUAC